rnacentral:rRNA from 1 species
GACGAACGCUGGCGGCGUGCUUAACACAUGCAAGUCGAACGGAAAGGCCCUGCUUUUGUGGGGUGCUCGAGUGGCGAACGGGUGAGUAACACGGGAGUAACCUGCCCUUGACUUUGGGAUAACUUCAGGAAACUGGGGCUAAUACCGGAUAGGAGCUCCUGCUGCAUGGUGGGGGUUGGAAAGUUUCGGCGGUUGGGGAUGGACUCGCGGCUUAUCAGCUUGUUGGUGGGGUAGUGGCUUACCAAGGCUUUGACGGGUAGCCGGCCUGAGAGGGUGACCGGCCACAUUGGGACUGAGAUACGGCCCAGACUCCUACGGGAGGCAGCAGUGGGGAAUAUUGCACAAUGGGCGGAAGCCUGAUGCAGCAACGCCGCGUGCGGGAUGACGGCCUUCGGGUUGUAAACUGCUUUCGCCUGUGACGAAGCGUGAGUGACGGUAAUGGGUAAAGAAGCACCGGCUAACUACGUG